rnacentral:rRNA from 1 species
AUUGAACGCUGGCGGCAGGCCUAACACAUGCAAGUCGAACGAGUGGCGGACGGGUGAGUAAUGUCUGGGAAACUGCCUGAUGGAGGGGGAUAACUACUGUAAACGGUAGCUAAUACCGCAUACCAUCAGAUGUGGCCAGUUGUGAUUAGCUAGUUGGUGGGGUAACGGCUCACCAAGGCGACGAUCCCUAGCUGGUCUGAGAGGAUGACCAGCCACACUGGAACUGAGACACGGUCCAGACGCCUACGGGAGGCAGCAGUGGGGAAUAUUGCACAAUGGGCGAAAGUCUGAUGCAGCCAUGCCGCGUGUAUGAAGAAGGCCUUCGGAUUGUAAAGUCCUUUCGGCGGGGAGGCGUUACCCGCAGAAGAAGCAACGGCUAACUCCGUGCCAGCAGCCGCGGUAAUAC